CGUCAACUCGGGUGUGAUAUCAUUCCCAGCUCCGACCUCCAACUUCUGAGACCGGAUGGUAUUCUGGUGGAGAAAUGAUCGGCUGGUCGGAGCCAAGAUUUAACAACAGACGAUAAACGGCAGACGUGAAGAAGAAGUGAUGGCGAAAACAACCUGAAGUUCUCCCAUCAGCCCCGUGAGUGGAAACAUGAAGAGACGAGUGGACGGAGGGACGGAUGGAUCCGAACGGGACAAACCUUCAGUCUGAUACGUCUGAUAUGGAUUCAGACAUUCGUCCAUCAAGUGAUUAAAAGUUGCGUCGGUCUUUAAUCAGCGGAGGGGUGUCCAACUUGGCGUCCCGGGGGGAUAAUUAAGACUCUACUGCUGCUGCAGGAGAGUUAACGUGACUCAUAUCUAACAGCGUUUAUUAACUUUCAGGUGUUUUCUGCAGGCUUUUAAAGGAAUAGUCCCUCUAAAAUGUGACGUCUGACAGGAUAAUAACCUGAUGUGUCUUCAGCGUCUGUCAGACUCUCACAGUCAGAGAUGAGAAAUGGAUGUUUCUGCAUUAUGCAUGGCUGUUUUGUUGGGACGAUGUUCAUCCGAGCACUUAAGUCUUUCCAAAACCUGAUGAGCUCCUCCUUCAGGUUUCUGCCCCAUUUCCCUCCACUCCUCCUUUUCUUUCUGGAUAUACAUCUGCAGCAACAUAAAUGUUUAAAUCAA